AUUAUAUUUAAUAACUUAAAGGACUAAAUUGUAAUUUUCUUUAGAAAUUGUGCAUGAGUUCCGUGUGUGUGCUGAUGUGUUGUGUGUGUGUGUUUCUUUAAAAAAAAAAAAAAAAGAAACCGAUCCAGGGAAGUCUUCUACGUUAUAGAGAGAGAGAGAGAGAGAGAGGGAGAGAGACUGUGGAAGAAGGAGAAGAGAAAGGGGAAGUGAGAGCUAGGUUGAAUUGGAAACUUUGUAAGGUGACGAGUCGGUGAAUCAAGGAGCACCGAAACCAUAGUUGUACUUUCUUUUGGAGUACGAGUUUUGCAGGCGUAGAUAUCCACGGCUGAUCGUCGUGGGAUUGUACGCUUGCUUAGGGUAGCAUGUCGGGAAGGCUGGACUAGUUUGGCAAAAUUUUGUAGAUAGGGAUGUAGUGCAGCCUAUAUUUAUAUUUGGUUUAUUGUAUAGUUUAAUGCUUUCUUAAGACUUCCGCUGUGUUUGUAAGAACGUUAAGUUUUGCGUUAUCAAUAAAAUGGCUGUUGGUUAA